CUGUUGUCAGUGACUUAUAAAGGCUGAACAAAGGAUCAGUGCAAUCAGAUUAGUUAAAAUACUUACAAAUAGGAUGGGAUUGACUUUCAUUGUGAUUAUUCUGCUGGUGAAUCUAAUUUCAUACACUUUUGAAGAAGACUCAGUGACAUCCUUAUAUCCUUCACAAAAUGCAAAAACUGGGGGAAAAGCACAAAUUACAUGCAAGUACAUUGCUGACAAGAGCUAUGCUAUUUAUCUGCAAUGGUACAUACAGAAAGGAGACCAAAGAAUAGAAUACUUACUUCAGACUAAUCAAAAUCCUGGUGAGAAGAACAUCAAACAAAGCAAGCAUUUAGUAGAUAAUAGAAUUGUUGCCAUUAUGAACCCAGAAAAUUCUACGGCUUACCUUUCAAUAAAUGACGUUGACUUGCAUGACUCUGCAACCUACUUUUGUGCUUUGAGUACCACAGUUAACAAUGUAGAGAUGUGCUAGUGCAAAAACUUUGUUUAGAAUCAAAUUGGCGGAA